GUGUGUGCCAUGCUCAGUUCAAAAUUGGAACAACACAAAGAAAAUUAGCCUAGCCCUUGUGCAAGGAUGACACAUAAAUUCCUGAAGCAUACUUUAAAAGUUUAU